AGAGUUUGAUCCUGGCUCAGAUUGAACGCUGGCGGUAGGCUUAACACAUGCAAGUCGAGCGGAAACGAUGAUAGCUUGCUAUCGGGCGUCGAGCGGCGGACGGGUGAGUAACGCGUAGGAAUCUGCCUAGUAGUGGGGGACAACCUGUGGAAACGCAGGCUAAUACCGCAUAAGCCUUGAGGGGGAAAGGAGGGGAUCUUCGGACCUUUCGCUAUUAGAUGAGCCUGCGUGAGAUUAGCUAGUUGGUGAGGUAAAGGCUCACCAAGGCGACGAUCUCUAGCUGGUCUGAGAGGAUGAUCAGCCACACUGGGACUGAGACACGGCCCAGACUCCUACGGGAGGCAGCAGUGGGGAAUAUUGGACAAUGGGCGCAAGCCUGAUCCAGCCAUACCGCGUGUGUGAAGAAGGCCCUAGGGUUGUAAAGCACUUUCAGAAGGGAGGAAAGGUUGAUGUUUAAUACACAUUAGCUGUGACGUUACCUUCAGAAGAAGCACCGGCUAACUCU
rnacentral:rRNA from 1 species